ACUCAAAGGAAUUGACGGGGGCCCGCACAAGCGGUGGAGCAUGUGGUUCAAUUCGACGCAACGCGAAGAACCUUACCUGGACUCGAAAUUUUGUUGACCGCCUCAGAGAUGAGGUUUUCCCGCAAGGGACAGCAGAAUAGGUGCUGCAUGGCUGUCGUCAGCUCGUGUCGUGAGAUGUUGGGUUAAGUCCCGCAACGAGCGCAACCCUUACCCUUAGUUGCUAGUCCGCAAGGAAAGCACCCUAAGGGAACUGCCUGGGAUAACCAGGAGGAAGGUGGGGAUGACGUCAAGUCCUCAUGGCCUUUAUGCCCAGGGCUACACACGUGCUACAAUGGCCGGUACAAAACGUCGCAAACCCGCGAGGGGGAGCCAAUCGUCAAAAACCGGUCUCAGUUCGGAUUGCAGGCUGCAACUCGCCUGCAUGAAGCUGGAAUCGCUAGUAAUCGCGUAUCAGAACGACGCGGUGAAUACGUUCCCGGGCCUUGUACACACCGCCCGU
rnacentral:rRNA from 1 species